rnacentral:rRNA from 1 species
AAAAUUGUAAAUUAAUAAACUAAAUUAGUAAAAGUUAAAUUCUAAAAAAUUAAAAAAUUUGGCGGUAUUUUAGUCUAUUCAGAGGAAUCUGCCCUGUAAUUGAUAAUCCACGAUUAAUUUUAUUUAUAUUAGAAAUUUAUAUAUCGUCGUUAAAGAAUAUUUUAUUAGGAUUUUAAUAUUCAAAAGUUGUUUUAAUAAAAAAAAUCAGAUCAAGGUGUAGUUUAUAUAUAAAAAGAGGUGGAUUACAAUUUAUUUUAUAAUUGAAUUAAAAUUUGAAAUUUAAGUUUUAUGAAAAUGGAUUUGAUAGUAAUUUAAAAUAUUUAUUUUAAAUGAUUGAGCUCUAAAAUAUGC